GCCAUCAAAACAAUUGAAGUUUAAAAGUAAUGAUGACUUUCUUUAAGGUUAUAUGUUGGGCUCUCAUAUUUAUAAUAAGAAUCCGUUUUCCGCCUGGCAAAUCUCUAGCUACGAUAUAUGCAAAUGAAGUUUACGUAAUCGUAUCUAUGAUGUAAUAAUUUAUGCUGAACCUAACACAUGCGCAGUUCACGACGAGCUUCUCUCUCGAUCUAUUCAAUAUGGUGGUCAAUCAAGAAAUGUUUUUGCUUGCAAAAAGAUCGUAAAUUGUUGGCGCUACAAGCUCGGAAAGAAGGAAGCAUCCAAACAAAUUCAUUUGUAACAUGGUGGAUAACAAAGUCCCUCUUUGAAAACGUACUUCAGUCAUUUUACGAUUGUAAAUGAGAUCAGGCUUUUAUCAGCUCACAGAAUAACAAGAAGGAAGCAUCCAAACAAAUUCAUUUGUAACAUGGUGGAUAACAAAGUCCCUCCUUGAAAACCUACUUCAGUCAUUUUACGAUUAAAAGUCCAGCGAGAAAUGAAGUGAAAGGCGAUUUGAAAACCACGAGAUUGGUGGCGAUCGAAGGUGGACAGCAAGAUCGAAGCUCAGCAAGAUUGAAGAUUGUUCGAAGAAGAAGGAGUUCGCCGUUGACUAAAAGGUUUAUCUGAACAGCUAGUUGUCAAGAUGAAUGCGAAGACUCGCCCGGCCAAAUUCAAAAUGGCGAUGCCAAAGAAAACCAUCCACCUGGACCGUUCGCAGACCUUUCUGGGCAAGAUUGUUGUGCUGUCUGGUCAAACCAGUUAUCAAGACGAACGUCAAGAGAACAGUUGAAAUAG
rnacentral:lncRNA from 1 species